rnacentral:tRNA from 1 species
CAGAUAUUAGUUUAAUAUUAAAAUGUUAAUUUUGGAGAUUAAUGAUAAGAGGUUUUUUAUAUCUGA